CCGAGUUUUGGCUGGCUCCCGUAAGGGAGCCACAGCACACGAAACAGUGUUGAAUCAUCGGAGCCUGUCAGGUCUGUUCCGUGUGCUGAAUUUUUGACGCAUUCACAUAUUGGUAUCGCAUGAACCCCAUAGUAAUUAACCGUCUCCAGCGUAAGCUGGGCUACACUUUUCAAC
rfam:Shimwellia blattae DSM 4481 = NBRC 105725, complete genome.